UCUAAAGAAUUUGGUGGGUGUGGUUUUUUGUUCUUGGCUCUUAGACUUUCUAGUCUUCUCUCUCUCUUGAAGCGUCCUUCUUCUUUUUCUUUCUGGUUGAAUUUGGAAUAAUUUCCAGGAUGUUUAAUCUAAGAGAAACUCUUGUAAACACGUCUUGCUAUAGUAAAUGAUAGAUAUGAGAUAUUGGCUAUCUGUUGUAGUUUGGCUUUUGAUAAAUUGAGAGAAGAGAGUUGUGUCCAAUUUGGAGAUCCUUUGAUGAACAAACUAAUUGUCUGCGUGGUUCUUUGUACUUUGUUCUCUUUGAAAAGUAGUUUGCACAUGGUGGAUUGGACUGAUCUUGAGCCCCCCAAAUUAAGUCUUUUUGGCCGAACUAGGUGAACAUUUUACUGUGUUCUUUACCUUUUUGCACUUUGUGUUUGGUUCGGUUUAUAUUGUUUGUGAUCUUUGGAUUAAAAUACCCAACAAGUCUGGUAUCAUAACCAUUUCUUAGAGCUUCUGGGUAAAAAUUUGUAUUCUGAAAAUAAGCAGUAUUCUUGAGGUGAUUGGAGACCUAAAAGGGUUUUGGUUUCACUGAAAUUUUUCUUUGAAAAUAUUUCUUUUUUUUAAAUUUGUGCAGAUCUAAACAAGUGUGUUAAAGUUACUCAUAAUUUUUCUUAAGUGUGAAGGUAAAGUGAUUUGGCAUUUUCUUUCUUGGCCGUUUGGGACGUUACCUAGAAGGAAAAAGGGUGUUCUUUGAAUUUAAUAGCUCUGUUGUUCAACAAUGCUGGGUGAGAUUGUUCUUGAACUUUCUCCGGAUAAUCCUGGUUUACAUAUUAACUUGUUCAUUGAUCUGUAGAUUAAUUGUUGUGCAUUGAGUACUCAGUGUUACAAAAUUAAUCUGACAUAGGAGCAUGUAUAGGAUUUAUCAUUCUGAAUCCGUUAUACUUGUUGUGUAAUCUUGCAUUAACAACACUGCGAUUGCUUGUGUUUACUGUAUUGAUUGUGCAAGUUAGGGUAGUUGAUUUCAUUCUGUAAUCAAUCUUUCUUUAAUUCUUUUAGGAACCAUUUUUCUGCACUUGAGUGAUCGCACAUUGAUAAAUCACUCAUGUCCACUAGUAGUGGCCGCCUUUUACAGAACCUCUGAUGGAUUCGAAGGUCGAAUUAUCACAAUUCGAUGAAAAGGGGAUUACUCAAUUUUAAAGUAGAAAAUGAGAGCCAUAUUGGUCUUACAAAGGGUCGUUAAAGCCUUGGAUGACCCAAACACAUAUCCUGCUAAACUUAAAGCAAAGCCGGAUGAAAUUCUAGAAAUGAAUGAAAUUGCUUAUAAUUCAAUUAUUUUGCAUCUGUCUGAUAAUAUUGUAAGGAAAGUAGAAGAUUCCAAAACUCUAAAGACUUAUGGACAACCUUAAAUAAUUUGUUCUUGAUCAAGACUUUACCAAAUAAAAUUUACCUCCUAGAAAAAUUGUUCAAUUUUAAAAUUGAUGCUGGGAAAGACUUAGAGGCUAACUUGAGUGAUUUCAGCAUACUAGUUAAGAGCUUCGCUCAUCAUAAUGAUAAAAAGUUUGAAGAUGAAGAUCUUGUAGUGAUCUUUCUAAACUCUUUACCUGAAUCUUAUAAAGAUAUCUGAAAUGCUAUAAAAUACUCAAGAGAUGCCUUAACACAAACAAUCGCAACAAAUGCCCUAAGAUCUAGGGAAUUGGAGGUUAGAAAAGAAUCAAGAACUAAUUCAAGAGACGAGAGCUUGUCAGUAAGAGGGAUAACUGAAAAAAAAAAAGAACCAUUGACAGAAUAAAAGAUUCAAAUCUAAAUCUAAAGCAAGAUAUAAAUCAAGAGUUAAAAGCAACAAAAAAUGUUUAUCACUGUGGAAAACUUGGACACUUUAAAAGAGAUUGCUUUGAAUUGAAGAAGAAGCUGAAAGAAUAUAACAACAUUGAGUUAAACAAUGCUGCUGUGAGUUCUGAACUUGACAACGUUCUUGUUAUGACUGUGACCAAUGAAGAAACAGAUAUUGACUGGAUACUAGACUCUAGAUGCACUCUUCACAUGUGUUCAAAUAAAUCUUGAUUUCGUAACUAUAGAGAGAUAGAACACAUAAAGGUAUAUAUGGGUGAUAAUAACUCGCAAAAUGUUCUUGGAACUGGUGACAUUGCAAUCAAAAUGCAUGAUGACAUUGUUGGACAGAUUAAGAAUGUGAGACAUGUCCCAAUCUAAAAAGAAAUCUCAUUUCAUUGGGAAUCCUUGAAGAUGAGAGACAUACAUUCAAAUCUAAAAAUAAUACUUUGAAAAUUCUAAAAGGAUCUCUUGUAGUUGUGAAGGGACCAAAAAGGAAUGGUUUGUACUAUCUAAUGGGAAAAACGGUAUAUCCUCAAGAGUCAAUAUCUUUAACCAUAACUGAAAGUAAAUCCGAAUUAUGACAUUGUAGGAUGAGUCAUAUUAGUAACAAGGGCCUAAAAUAUCUAAAUGACCAAAAACUACUUGGAAAAGAUAGAAUAGAACUUCUUAACUUUUAUGAGGCAUGCGUGCUAUGGAAGUCUCAUAGAGUAAGCUUUAAGAUAGGGUUACACACGACAAAUAGACUAUUAAACUAUGUUCAUUCAGAUUUAUGAGGUCCAGAAAAUCACCCAACCUUUGAUGGGAACAAAUAUUUUCUUUCUAUAAUUGAUGACUAUUCUAGAAAGGUCUGGCCCUACCCUUUAAAAUCCAAAUCCGGAACUUUUCAAAAAUUCAGAAUGUGGCUAAAGAUGGUUGAGAAUCAAUUGUACAAGAAACUGAAAACCUUAAGGAUGGAUAAUGGAUUGGUAAUGCUGAAUUUGAUAACUUUUACAAACAAAAGGGAAUAAUUAGGUAUAGGAUCGUUAAGCAUACACACCAAUCCAUAGAACUCUUAUGAAUAAAGUAAGAUGUAUGGUUAUAAGUUAUGGGUUUUAUGCAAUGUAGGCUACCUGAUAAACAGGUCCCCUUACAGUUCUGUAGCGUUCAAUACUCCACAGGAACUUUAUAUUGGAAAAUCACCAAAGCUGUCACACAUUAGAGUCUUUGGAUGUGCUGUAUAUGCACAUUAGACUGAAGGAAAAUUAGACCCAAGGGCUACCAAGUGUGUUAUGUUUGGAUACCUUAUAGGAGUUAAAGGGUAUAUGUUAUGGGUACUAAGUGUAAAAGAGAUUGCUUUGAAUUGAAGAAGAAGCUGAAAGAAUAUAACAACAUUGAGUUAAACAAUGCUGCUGUGAGUUCUGAACUUGACAACGUUCUUGUUAUGACUGUGACCAAUGAAGAAACAGAUAUUGACUGGAUACUAGACUCUAGAUGCACUCUUCACAUGUGUUCAAAUAAAUCUUGAUUUCGUAACUAUAGAGAGAUAGAACACAUAAAGGUAUAUAUGGGUGAUAAUAACUCGCAAAAUGUUCUUGGAACUGGUGACAUUGCAAUCAAAAUGCAUGAUGACAUUGUUGGACAGAUUAAGAAUGUGAGACAUGUCCCAAUCUAAAAAGAAAUCUCAUUUCAUUGGGAAUCCUUGAAGAUGAGAGACAUACAUUCAAAUCUAAAAAUAAUACUUUGAAAAUUCUAAAAGGAUCUCUUGUAGUUGUGAAGGGACCAAAAAGGAAUGGUUUGUACUAUCUAAUGGGAAAAACGGUAUAUCCUCAAGAGUCAAUAUCUUUAACCAUAACUGAAAGUAAAUCCGAAUUAUGACAUUGUAGGAUGAGUCAUAUUAGUAACAAGGGCCUAAAAUAUCUAAAUGACCAAAAACUACUUGGAAAAGAUAGAAUAGAACUUCUUAACUUUUAUGAGGCAUGCGUGCUAUGGAAGUCUCAUAGAGUAAGCUUUAAGAUAGGGUUACACACGACAAAUAGACUAUUAAACUAUGUUCAUUCAGAUUUAUGAGGUCCAGAAAAUCACCCAACCUUUGAUGGGAACAAAUAUUUUCUUUCUAUAAUUGAUGACUAUUCUAGAAAGGUCUGGCCCUACCCUUUAAAAUCCAAAUCCCGAACUUUUCAAAAAUUCAGAAUGUGGCUAAAGAUGGUUGAGAAUCAAUUGUACAAGAAACUGAAAACCUUAAGGAUGGAUAAUGGAUUGGUAAUGCUGAAUUUGAUAACUUUUACAAACAAAAGGGAAUAAUUAGGUAUAGGAUCGUUAAGCAUACACACCAAUCCAUAGAACUCUUAUGAAUAAAGUAAGAUGUAUGGUUAUAAGUUAUGGGUUUUAUGCAAUGUAGGCUACCUGAUAAACAGGUCCCCUUACAGUUCUGUAGCGUUCAAUACUCCACAGGAACUUUAUAUUGGAAAAUCACCAAAGCUGUCACACAUUAGAGUCUUUGGAUGUGCUGUAUAUGCACAUUAGAUUGAAGGAAAAUUAGACCCAAGGGCUACCAAGUGUGUUAUGUUUGGAUACCUUAUAGGAGUUAAAGGGUAUAUGUUAUGGGUACUAAGUGUUAAGGGUAUUAAGAUCAUUGAUAGUAGAAAUGUAGGGUCUAAUGAGUUUGAAAUGCCAUGCCUAAAGGAUAAAACUGACAAACCAGAUCCAACUGAAAAGGGUACUUCAUAGAAUGAGGUGAAGUUGACAAGAUUAAGUCAUAAUCAAUCUAAAAUAACUGAACCUCAGAUAUGAACAGCCUAGUGGAAAGGGUAGAUAACGCGGAUGAGAUGAAGGCAUACCAUCCCAAACUGAAAUUGAAACGAAAAUUGUGACACUUGAUAACCCUGCAAAUGAAACUAGUACUCAAGAUUAUCAAUUAGUGAGAGACAGGUAAAGGAGACAAAUUAAACCUAACCCCAAGUAUUAGACAAAUAAUCUAACAGACUUUGCCCUAAUCACUAGUGGGAACUUAGAACAUGCUAAACCUUUAUCUUACAAAGAAGUAAUGAACGAUUCCAAGUCCCAAAAUUGGAGAGAUGUUAUGAGAGAAGAAAUGAAAUCUUUACUUGAAAAUAAGACAUGGAAACCUAUAAAGAAACCAAAGCGUUAGAGAAAAGGUUCAAUGUAAGUGGAUCUAUAAACUCAAAGAAGGGAUCUCACAUACUGACCCUUUGAGGUAUAAGGCAAUGCUUGUAACCAAAGGGUUGACUCAAAGGGAAGGUGUGGAUUACAAUGAAAUUUUUUCACCUGUAAUCGAAUAUAAAACAAUAAGGCUAAUACUUGCUCUAGUUGUUCAAUUCAAUUGGAAACUUGAACAAUUAGACGUCAAAACUGUAUUCUUACAUAGGGAAUUGGAUGAAGACUGUGUCAACCUCAAGGUUCUGAAAAAAAAAAAGGGAAAUUUGAUUUUGUUUGUAAAUUGCAAAAAUCCCUGUACGGACUCAAACAAAGUCCAAGACUGUGGUAUUUAAGGUUUGACACAUGUUCUAAAAGUUUUAUGAUAACUGAAUAUGACCAUUUCUUAUAUUAUAGAAACUCUAAAAUUGGCAGUGAGAUAUAUUUACUCUUAUAUGUAGACAAUAUGCUACCGACCAGCUCUAGUAAAGUUGUGAUAAUGGGACUUAAGAAUAUUCUAAAAUCUGAAUUUGACAUGAAAGACUUAGAAAAUGUCAAGAAAAUUGUGGAUGGUGAUAAAUAGAAAUAUGCAGGAAGAUAUGUUAACAAUAACACAAGAAUCUUACCAGUACAAAGUGAUAACAAAAUUUGGUAUGAAAGGAGUUACGUCUGUUAAUGUGCCACCCGCAACUCACAUGAACCUUUUCUCAGCCCAAUGUCCUAAACUAAAUCUAAGAUCAAUGAUAUGAGAAAUAUACCAUAUACUAAUGCCAUGGUGUUUUUCUUUUUCUUUCUGGUUGAAUCUAAAUAAUUUCCAGGGUGUUGAAUCUAAGAAAACUCGUAUAAACAUGUCUUGCUACAGUAAUUGAGAGGUCUGAGUUAUUGGCUAUCUGUUGUAGUUCGAUUUUUGAUAGAUUGAGAUAAUAGAGUUAUGUCCAGUUUGGAGAUCCUUUGAGGAUCGAUGAACAAACUCAUUAUCUGAGUGGUUCUCUGUAUUUUGCUCUCUUUGGGAGGUAGUUUGCACAUAGUGGAUUGGGUUGAUCCUAAAAUCCUCAUAUUAUGCCUUUUUGGUCGAACUAAGUGAACAUUUUGAUGUGUUGUUUACAUUUUAAAAAAAAAAAAAAAGGAAAGAAAAGAAAAGAAAAGGUAUAUUUCUAAUCAUUGUUCUAAAUUUUUCUUGAAUUACUAUCGUCUAUUUUAUAUGUAUGUAAUGUAUUCCUAUUACAAUUGAUUUUUCAUAAUGUUUUACUAAAUUUAAUUAUAGCGAACAAAAUUUUAUAUUUAACAUAACUAGUUGAGGUUGCUUAGAUUCUUUAAUUCACAAGGAAAUAAGGUUUGCGAUGGUUGUACAAAUUGCACAUUUAAAAUAUUGACCCAAAAACACCAAGCAAUAUUCAAACAAAGUGCCUUACAAGAUUAAACGUAUGAAAUGUUCCUCGUAGAUCAUAUUUUACAGUUUUAGGUAGUCUCUCUAAUCGUUUCUUCUCCCUUUUUCCAAACUUCUUGCAUUAAAACUAUUAAUGCUUACAAUUCUUUUCAAAAUCUUGUUUGUACUUCAUUGUCGGCAGUAGAUUAAGUACAUUCAUCGAGUAUAGACUUCUUAAUUAUUUGGUGUUAUGGUUGUCUUCGUGUAUGCACGAUGCAGACAACAUAUUAAGACUUUAUUUUUUAUCUUGAAGGCAUAUUUACAUGGUCAAGUGCAUCACGAUUUAGGGGGGCCAAAUAGCAUCUUAAGGAAGUCCAAAGUUGUGCCUUGAAAUCGUGUUCUUCAUUCUUCAAGAUUUUGCACUUCCAGCAGGUUGUGGUUUAAUUUGUAUUUCUGCGAUUUCUAAUCAUUCCUCGUUGUUCUAACUUGAAGUCGAGUUUCUGAAUAUAAGCAAACACGCUAUAAAGAAGAAAAGAUACCACAAAAAGUGAAAUUUAUACCUUGAAUGGUGACUUUACAUGUGCUAUUUUAAUUUAAGUAUUCACUUCUUAAAGGGUGGAAAUUCACAUUUGUCACUGUUAUAAAAGUAGUAAAUACGAAAAUUUAUGACACAAUUGGAUUUUGUAUCUUACAACAUGAAAUCGACGUGUUGAAUUGACACCCAUGAGUCUACC
rnacentral:lncRNA from 1 species